CGGGGUCACGCCCCGGGUGCGUCGCAGCCCCGGAACCAGGCGCCCGCCGGAGGGACCAACCAAAGUCUUUUCUGUAGUCCCCUCGCGGACGUUAUUUCUUACAGCUCUGAGCAAAAAUUCAAAAUGAAUCAAAACUUUCAACAACGGAUCUCUUGGUUCUGGCAUCGAUGAAGAACGCAGCGAAAUGCGAUCAGUAAUGUGAAUUGCAGAAUUCAGUGAAUCAUCGAAUCUUUGAACGCACAUUGCGCCCGCCAGUAUUCUGGCGGGCAUGCCUGUCCGAGCGUCAUUUCAACCCUCGAACCCCUCCGGGGGGUCGGCGUUGGGGACCUCGGGAGCCCCUAAGACGGGAUCCCGGCCCCGAAAUACAGUGGCGGUCUCGCCGCAUCCUCUCCUGCGCAGUAGUUUGCACAACUCGCACCGGGAGCGCGGCGCGUCCACGUCCGUAAAACACCCAACUUCUGAAAUGUUGACCUCGGAUCAGGUAGGAAUACCCGCUGAACUUAAGCUUAUCAAU
rnacentral:rRNA from 1 species